AGCGGCGGACGGGUGAGGAACACGGGGCAACCGGCCCUGCAGACUGGGAUAACUCCGGGAAACCGGAGCUAAUACCGGGUAAUACAUCCACCGCAUGGUGCAAUGUUGAAAGUUGGUUUUUGAGUUAWUAUUGUAGGAUGGGCCCGCGGCGCAUUAGCUAGUUGGUAAGGUAAUGGCUUACCAAGGCGACGAUGCGUAGCCGACCUGAGAGGGUGAUCGGCCACACUGGGACUGAGACACGGCCCAGACUCUACGGGAGGCAGCAGUAGGGAAUCUUCCGCAAUGGACGAAAGUCUGACGGAGCAACGCCGCGUGAGUGACGAAGGCUUCGGGUCGUAAAGCUCUGUUGUUAGGGAAGAACAAGUACCGUUCGAAUAGGGCGGACCUUGACGGUACCUAACCAGAAAGCCACGGCUAACUACGUGCCAGCAGCCGCGGUAAUACGUAGGUGGCAAGCGUUGUCCGGAAUUAUUGGGCGUAAAGCGCGCGCANGCGGUCUUUUAAGNGCRUAGAUGYGAAAGCCCACGGCNCAACCGUGGAGGGUCAUUGGAAACUGGAGGACUUGAGUGCAGAAGAGGAGAGUGGAAUUCCACGUGUAGCGGUGAAAYGCGUAGAUAUGUGGAGGAACACCA
rnacentral:rRNA from 1 species